UAGGACAACACUCACCUCACACAGAAGGUAGGUUUAGGACAACACUCACCUGACCUCUCACACAGAAGGUAGGUUAGGACAACACUCACCUGACCUCUCACACAGAAGGUAGGUUAGGACAACACUCACCUCACACAGAAGGUACGGUUAGGACAACACUCACCUGACCUCUCACACAGAAGGUAGGUUAGGACAACACUCACCUGACCUCUCACACAGAAGGUAGGUUAGGACAACACUCACCGCACACAGAAGGUACGGUUAGGACAACACUCACCUCGCACACAGAAGGUACAGUUAGGACAACACUCACCUCACACAGAAGGUAGGUUAGGACAACGCUCACCUCACACAGAAGGUAGGUCUAGCUCAGUGGGCCAACAGUAUUGAGGCCCUGCAGCAUACCUGGGUUCCAAUCCAGGCAGUCAUAUUGUUCCCUCACUUUUUUUUUAAACAUAAUUUUUGAUCCUUUGAAUACACACACACA